rnacentral:lncRNA from 1 species
AUUUCUUUUUUUAUUAUACUUUAAGUUCUAGGGUACAUGUGCACAAUGUGCAGGUUUGUUACAUAUGUAUACAUGUGCCAUGUUGGUGUGUUGCACCCAUUAACUUGUCAUUUACAUUAGGUAUAUCUCCUAAUGCUAUCCCUCCCCCCGCUCCCCGCACCCCACGACAGGCCCCAGUGUGUGAUGUUCCACUUCUUCUGUCCAAGUGUUCUC